rnacentral:rRNA from 1 species
UACGUAGGGUGCAAGCGUUGUCCGGAAUUAUUGGGCGUAAAGAGCUUGUAGGCGGUUUGUCGCGUCUGCUGUGAAAUUUCGGGGCUCAACCCCGAACUUGCAGUGGGUACGGGCAGACUAGAGUGUGGUAGGGGAGACUGGAAUUCCUGGUGUAGCGGUGAAAUGCGCAGAUAUCAGGAGGAUCACCGAUGGCGAAGGCAGGUCUCUGGGCCAUAACUGACGCUGAGAAGCGAAAGCAUGGGGAGCGAACAGG